GACUCAGCUUUCUGAUCCAUGAAAUCAAAGAAGACUCAAAGAAAGACUCUGUCCACACUGAAUUUCAUCUGACUAGAAACUGCAUACUGACUGUCUUAGUUUCAGCUGGGGCUGGGACAGAAUUAGGACAGCUGACUUAAAUUGGCCAAAGGAAUAUUCCAUACCAUAUGACACCAUGUGGAAGGAGUUUUGAAGGUGGGAUGGGGGAGAGAAGUGACUGAAUGACUGUGUGGUGCUGAGCCACCUGCUGGGUUAAACCACAACAGUUGAUUUGAUGCCCAAUGUUGUGCUUAUCAUGGGGAUUGGAGUGACCACAGGACUGGUUGUGAGAGCUGCAACACCUACAGGACUUGUCAGAAGUAUUAGAGUAACCACAGGAUCUGUCAAAAAAGUGAGAGCAGCUGCAGGGUCCAUCACAGGAGCUGGAGGAACCACAGGACUUGUCACAGAGUUUGGAGCAGUCAAGGGCUUGUUGCAGGAGUUGGAGAGUCCAUUACAUUGUCAUCAGAUCCAGAAGUAUUCUCUUCCUGUUGAGAAUGCUGAAUAAUGUUGAACGGAGCUUGACAGGCAUAGGCCUGACCCCAGCAUGCUGCAAUGAUUUGUGCCUCUUUAGGAUUGCCACAGCAACAGCAGACCUUUUGCAAAUAUUCUACUAGUUUUUCAGAAUUUUGCAGUUGUUCCAAGGUGAAGUUCCAAACCACUGGGGGUGCCCACCACUCUAGGCACCUGCCCAUACUAUCCCAUACUCCCUACUACUCAGAACAAUCCUGCCUCGGGGCAGAUCUCUGGAUGAUAUUCGUAACUAAUUGUUUAAUCUUAAACAUGACCUGGGACACAUUUACAUCACAUAGUGAUAGUGGCAUGUUGGCUUGAGCAUCUCAGAGAUAUUCAAAAUUCUUAAGAGCUAUUGCAAUUAGCUUUUGAGCUCUAUGGAAAGAAGGAAAGGCGAAAGAAAGGCUGAUGGACUGCUGGAAAGUGUCCUCCUCUAUCUCCUCAUUAGCCAGCCUCUCUGAGGAGACAAUGCAAGAGGUGUAAUUACUAAUAGUAUCAACAAUAUGGCUUCCAAAACCCAAAGGUGACUGCUAUGCCAAAUGCACACAAAACACUUUCUCAGCUGUCAAUUUUAUCAUAAUAUAAGCUAAUACCACACACAGCAUAGAAAAUAAAAACCUUAAUCCAACCCCCAUAAUGGACAAACAAACAGCAAGCUAGGUACUACGAAGUAUAGUUAAGACUCUCAAAUUGCUCUGUAAAUAUGGAAAAAAUCAACCUCAACAUCGUGAGCAGCAAUUAUCAAACUACCACAACACCCUGUGUUAACACAGUCCGCUCAGGUCUGCUGUUAUCUCAACCCUCUGCCCCACUUUGGGCAGCAAAUUGACUAUUGUGGUUUAACUGGCAGGUGGCUCAGCACCGCACAGUUGUUUGCUCACUCCUCUCGCACAAACUUUGUGGAGCUGAGCCACCUGCUAGGCUAUACCACAAAAUUGACUUUAUUCAUCCUCAUAUUACAUAGUCAUAGUAAUAAAGAAUUGGUCAAAUAAGACUGUAGAGGAGUUACAAUUUCACUGGACUGACUUAUCCCUAAAAUGAAUAAAUAUUUAAAUCUGAGCAAUCAUAUGGCAACCACACACAUUAGAUGUUUAUUGCCCAGUGCUAGCCUUGUAGUCACACCAUUUGUCUUCUUCUAUUUUCCUUUGUAGAUUAUUUGAUGAUGUUGUUUUCAGUUCACUUCAUAUGGCUCUUUUUUUACUCCUCACAAAUUGCUGGAGACUAAUGGGACAAUUCUUCAGCAAUUACACUGAAACGAUCACAGAAAUGCCCUGGUUCUAUUUCACGUUUCGAUACGUGGGAGCACUGCAUGCUAUCUUGUCCCUUGAAUUUCCUGUAUAUUAAACCUUAAGAAAGAUAUUAAUCAGCACCGAGUAAGACUACUGACACUGAUGAAUUCCUUUUUAAUUGUUCAGUGUAUAGUCCAGACAGGGCAUCAGUGCAUCAACCAGGCAAGCCAGAUGAGAUCUGAAUCACAGAGGGUCUAGGAUGCUGGCAAUCAGUCUACUCACACUGUUCCUGCUGUUUCCUAAUUCCUCAGCUUGUGUGGUAGAGAAGCAGAACUCAGCACUUGCACUCCUCACUUGGUACUCCAAAUGCAGGUCCCACAGGGGUCUUUCUGCAGCUAUAGUUUACAGAAACAUGUGCACAGUGCACAGUACGCAUCACUGUUGUCAGAGGUGACAAGAGCAAUUUUUGCAGUUAUACUUCAUUUAUAGCCCUGCUAUAUAUAUACAUUUGAUUCUUGUAUGUGGAGAACAAAGCCUUCUAGGCUUAAAUAUUUCAGUACUUGUAAGACCCUAGGCAAAUAGUCUGGUGGUAACAGACAAGUACAAGAAAAUAUUUCUUGGAGGUAUCUAAGAGAACUCAAGUGCAGCAUCCCUUUAGAGAUCCAACUUUCCUUUAUAGUUCUGUAAUCUUCUGCAAAACAAUCUUUUUUCUCUGUACAGAAAGCCAGUUUUAUCGCUGUAUAUCUUAUGGAAACAACUACCUAAAUAAAUCAGUAUCUUUUAUUAAGAAAGAACUCUUGAAAGUGUUUGUAAUGGAGCGGUUCAGAUUGCUUUUUCUUAAUGUAUUUGGUUCCAUUCUUUGCCUUCAGCAAUUGCCUAUCACAAAGCUCCAUGUGGAGAUAGAAAUCAAACCAGCAGAGGAAAUAACUGAAUAAGAAUGAAGUUGUUUGUGGAUCUCCUUUCAUAUUGUGUGAAAUUCACUGAUGUAUACUUUUUGAGAUGAGAAUAGUAUCUCCCCUUCUGCAGUCUUUCUUGUAAAACGUUGAAUAAACUGGAGGCACCAAUAAAUAAAUGGUGAAAUUACCUAAUGCAACCACACUGACACGAGUAUUCCUGUUUGUGGACGGUUAUUUACAUUGGUAUUUCCAGCUAAUUUACUAAAAAUUCUGGACUAAGGAAUUAUCUGCUCACAGAGAUAAAGUGUGUGGGUUACCAAGCCAAUGUUUACUCUCAUCUCUUGGUUUCACUGUUCUUGGAAUUGGAUGUGUUGGGAAGUUACAACUUACAUGAGUAUGUGUAGAUGUUGUUACUAGAUUCGAAGGUCAAAAGUGCCUAAGAGGUUCCUACAUUUAGAUACAGAAUUUGUAUUGUCUUAGGCUGGAUAAUUGUACUUUGCUAUCUUAGCUACUUAGACAAUUAAAAAAAUAUUAUUGAGUAUUUCUUUCAUUUUUUAAAUCUCUUUCAUUUUUCCACAACAGUUUUGGUUCUUUUUU
ensembl:lncRNA